GAUCAUGGCUCAGGAUGAACGCUAGCGACAGGCUAACACAUGCAAGUCGAGGGCAGCAUAAAAGUAGCAAGUACUUGGUGGCGACCGGCGCACGGGUGAGUAACGCGUAUGCAACCUACCUAUCGAGAGGGGAAUAACCCCGGCGAAAGUCGGACUAAUACCGCAUAAAACAGGGGGCACCGCAUGGUGAUAUUUGUUAAAGAGAUUCGCUGAUAGAUGGGCAUGCGUUCCAUUAGGUAGUUGGUGAGGUAACGGCUCACCAAGCCGACGAUGGAUAGGGGAACUGAGAGGUUGGUCCCCCACACUGGUACUGAGACACGGACCAGACUCCUACGGGAGGCAGCAGUGAGGAAUAUUGGUCAAUGGGCGAGAGCCUGAACCAGCCAAGUCGCGUGAAGGAAGAAGGAUCUAUGGUUCGUAAACUUCUUUUGCAGGGGAAUAAAGUGCAGGACGUGUCCUGUUUUGUAUGUACCCUGAGAAUAAGGAUCGGCUAACUCCGUGCCAGCCGCCGC
rnacentral:rRNA from 1 species